rnacentral:rRNA from 1 species
AUUGAACGCUGGCGGCAGGCCUAACACAUGCAAGUCGAACGAGUGGCGGACGGGUGAGUAAUGUCUGGGAAACUGCCCGAUGGAGGGGGAUAACUACUGGAAACGGUAGCUAAUACCCCAUACCAUAGGGUGUGCCCCGAUGGGGUUAGCUUGUAGGUGAGGUAACGGCUCACCUAGGCGACGAUCCCUAGCUUGUCUGAGAUGAUGACCAGCCACACUGGAACUGCGACACGGUCAAGACGCCUACGGGAGGCAGCAGUGGGGAAUAUUGCACAAUGGGCGCAAGCCUGAUGCAGCCAUGCCGCGUGUAUGAAGAAGGCGUUCGGGUUGUAAAGUACUUUCAGCGGGGAGGCGUUACCCGCAGAAGAAGCACCGGCUAACUCCGUGCCAGCAGCCGCGGUAAUAC